GCCUGUCUCAGUUCGGAUUGGAGUCUGNAACCCGACUCCGUGAAGCUGGAUUCGCUAGUAAUCGCGCAUCAGCCAUGGCGCGGUGAAUACGUUCCCGGGCCUUGUACACACCGCCCGUCAAGCCAUGGGAGCCGGGGGUGCUUGAAGUGCGUCGCCGCAAGGCGCGCCCUAGAGCAAAACCGGUGACUGGGGCUAAGUCGUAACAAGGUACC
rnacentral:rRNA from 1 species